AAUUUCCUCCGGAGUUUCUUCUCAUACGUUGGCUACAAAUAGCCGAAACGAAUUGACCAUUUUUUGCAAUUCGCAUUAAGAUCUCAAAUAAAGGAGUGAGAUUGAGCUGCAGGAAGAGGGAAAAAGAUGCGCGGCCCUUAUGACAUACACGCUUAUUUGGGAACUAUUAGAUGAAACACAAGGACCUCCAACCCGAAAGGUGGUGUGCGGACAUCUUAGCAAUGAUCAUUGGAUUUUGUUGCAUAUGAAACCAGGGGAUCAUCCGGUACCACCCAUAGCAUUUUACUGGAACGACCAUCACGACAAAUCUGCAGAUGGUUUAGAUGCACAAUUUGCAUUCUCGAUCGGUCACUUUAACCGUCUCCACAAUGAAGAUGGAGAACGUCGAGCAGCAACAAGAAGAAGAAAGAACAAUUAAUUAGGAUCGAAAAAACAAUUGAUGUAUU